CCGCCACUAGCUCACUGGGAGAGAGCAGCAGCCUUCUAAGCUGUUGGUACGAGGUUCAAAUCCCCGGUGGCGGACCA
rnacentral:tRNA from 1 species